rnacentral:rRNA from 1 species
UCGCGACCCCAGUCAGCGGGACU